CCCGACACAACACAGCCACCUCCUCCUCGUCCCACCACCAAGUUCCAAACUUCUCUCCCGUCGCCCCCACCACGAUCAGAGGCCAUGGCAGGAAGGGAAGGCGGCAUACAUCCGCGCGGGAGGCUAAACUCAGGCCGCGGAUGCACAUCGUCGACGUCGCCGUCAUCUUGGGCCAAUGCCAUUGCUCGCGGCCUCACGCCCGUUCAGGUGCCGGAGUCCCUGUUCAAGCGUUGCUCUACGUCGCGAGCCACCCCGCACCUCGACCUUCCGCCCGCCCAGUUCGCCGACGCCCACUGUCGCAUGCCACCAAAGCCGUCCGCCCACAGCGUCGUCAGGAGUUGCCGCCUUGGCUAAGCGGGCGCUGAAGCUGACACGAGGAGGUGCUCCAACACCCUAUCGCUCCGUCCUGAUCGGCUGCUCUGUGUCAAGGCAAUGGCGAGGUGGAGUGGCCACUGUGCACUGCCUGAAGGAGGCGCUGGCGUAGUGGCGACGUAGGACGGCAAGGACGAUAUGUGCAGGAUGGUGGAACCAAUCGAGGGUGACCAUGGCGGGAGGUUUGCAGGGCAGAUUUUGUCUGAAAUCUAUUUGGUACAAAGUAUGGGGAAAACAACUUCUGUCAAGCAUCUCCUGGAGAAUAAACUAUCCCCAGCUUCUGUACAUGCAACAUGUAUUUUCUUUCGUUUGCCAAUUUGUUUCAGUACCAUCAUCUGUGAGAAUUGAUCUUCUGCAAUUGCAGGUGUCGAUAUUGGACCAGAGCCAACGACCGUCAGAUUUGUGAUUAUCACGCUUACCUAGACAGAGGAAGAAAGAGCAUGGCGGCCAUCUUUGCGAGGCUCAUGAUGCAGAAGUUCUAGACGAAGCAAAUGAAGUACCAUGGAGACGAAGCAAAUGAAGUCCCAGUCGGGAGAGGAGACGGAUGAGCCACGCUGGGGCGGCGAGAGCAACAAAUGCGCUAGGGAGAUUGGGGAAUGGUGGAGGUGGGGAAUGAGCAGGGAGGUUCGAGGAAGCUAGAGAGAAAGAGAGUGGAUCUCAGACUUCUCAGUCCAGGGCACCGCUGUGGUCCCAAGUGCAGGUGCACACGCGUGAGCAGAGAUGGGUCUGUACACUUUAUUAUUGCAUUGUCCAGAUAUUCAAUGAUAAGUAAUAGAAGUUGCUGCAACAGUCCUGACUCAAAAUUGCUUCAUACAGCUCCUUCUGUUUUAUCUGAUUGUUAUCUAUAGGAUGAUGAUAAUUUACUUGUUA